rnacentral:rRNA from 1 species
ACCCGCUGAACUUAAGCAUAUCAAUAAGCGGAGGAAAAGAAACUAACAAGGAUUCCCCUAGUAACUGCGAGUGAAGAGGGAAAAGCUCAAAUUUAAAAUCUGGCAGCUUCGCUGUCCGAGUUGUAAUUNAGAGAA